UGCGUGCGUGUUAGGGGUAGGGACAGCAGGUGGAAGAGGGACCGUAACAGGAGUACUAUUUGAUGAGGCAAAGUAGGUGGGUGCGUCGGGUUUCCUCCCUCGUGCUGCAGUUGAGAACGUUCCCAGUAACAAAUUGUGUCCCGUUUUAUUUCCUCGGAGUGUUUGCGCCACAUAUUUAUCACGAGGGGACGUGGGACGAGGGAGAGAGGCAGGCAGGGACGGCCGUGCCGAGCCAGGGGAAGGGUAACCCGACAAAAAGGAAGGGAGUUAUGUAAGGCAUUCGCCGCUACUGCCGGAGGAACUUUUAAUAAUGUACUCAAAAGUGGUGACUAUUGAUCGGAGGGUUUGUAGAUUGAUGAAUCUAUCCGGGCGAAGGGAAGGGCGGCCCAACACCAUCCAUACGACGAAGGGACAGAGCCACCCUCGCCGCGGCGCCUCGUUCCUGGGCGUUGUUGGGUCCAGCAGGCAGAUGGCACCGAGUCGCAGAUGGCACAUGUGUAUCACUACUCCGAGUUAAGCGCGGUCCGGGGCCCGGGGGUGGGACUGGGGGCGGAGCCACGCUUAGUGCGGGGCCGGGCAACGGGCGGGGCUUAGGACGAGCCUGCGCCGUGGUGGGUUAAAGGUCUGCACCAACCUCUCGCAACUAGUUGGAGGAAGGACAUGAUGGAGGGAAGAGGUGUCAGUGCGGUCCACGUGGGCCAUAAAGUGGCCAUGGGCGGUGGUGAUGUUGGCCUCGGUGGCCCACAAGUCAAUGGUGGAAACCCAGUGCGUAGUGUGGAAUCCUUGCUAGAUAUCUGUGCCAAAAUAGUGGCUGAGCACAUACCGUUCCAGCGGAUAGAGGAGCGGUACAGCCGAAUUCCCGAGCCCGUGCAGCGACGCAUCAUCUACUGGUCCUUCCCGCGGCACGAGGCCGAUAUAAGGAUGUAUUCUUGCUUCUCCUCCGUGGGCAGUGACCAGCAGAGCCUUCCCUUCUACCGCGGCCUGCGCCUGGUGGAGUCCGGCAUGGUGGACGGCGUCUUACAAGUCGGUGAGUUGUGUGGCGGCAGUGUGUGUGUGUGUGUGUGUGUGUGUGCGCGCAACGCGGGGAGGCGCCAGCAGCCCAGCAGCCACAGUGACUUCGUUGGUAAGGAAUGCAGAGUAUCUUAUCUUGUGUCAUUAUGUGUUGCGAAAGUUCGGAGGGCGAAGUGAGGCCUUUGUGUCAUAGUUGAGUCCCGUUCUCCUGCGGCCUUCACUGCGCCCUCGCCUCACUCCACUGACUCGGCCUGGCGUUGUGCUCUUAAUAGCAGGAAAAGAGAGUUUGGAACCUUGUGUUGGUCGUGGCCUUGUUAUUCCUCUGAGUCUCAAAAACGAGUCUCGCCUGCAGUGUUUCUUCUUUUUUCACGGCCUUGAUUCAAACCGUAGCGUUAGCAGCUGACGGACCCGAACAUGGCCGGGCCGAGGUCUCCAAGGGCUGCGUUGCUGUAGCAGCAGCACCAGUAUAGCCUGCCCGGCGCUCCCUCAACGUGGUAAUUGUGUGGUGAUUGUGGCGGGCUGGAGGUGUGAGUGUCGCCCUUGUGUGCUGAAGGGGGGUUAUUGUGAGGCGUUAGUGCGAGGCGCCUGGGGCGACCGCCUGGCGUGAUUGUGUCCGUAACGAUGACGUGACGCACGGGACCAAGUGACGCACACGCUCCAUUUUCCACGGCGAGAUGCUUUGUCGCGGCACAGGCGAGUUCCCUCCAAGGCGAACACGAUUACCUCGCCUGCGGGUGAUACGUGCCUGUGUGGGCUGCACCUGACCCACCCCCUUGACGGGUAAGAGUGAGCCCAGUCCAGAACGGGAUCAGGGUUGGAGGUGGUUGGGAGAAGGGCGGGAAGACGCCGGGCCGCUGCCAGCCAUGAGGUGUACGCACGAGUACUCUGCCAACACACUCCACUGUCCGGCCGUGACGGCACCACUUCCCCGCCUCGCUAAUUCCCGACCAUCACAUUCCUGGUGGCGCUGUGUUAGAAAGGUGACUGCGAGGCCACGCAGGCUGCCGUGCGAGUCCCUCUCCUCCCACCAAGACGGGCGGCGUGAUUUGGAGAUAAAACACUUGACUGGCACAUUCCUGCACUACAGAACCAGAUUCAUGAUGGCGCCUCAGUCCCAGUGUAUACAUUGAAUACAUUUCCUGCCCACUUGAAGGGUGGCGCGCUGAUUGGCGGGUGUGUAUGACUGGUGACGGAUGGCGGCCAGCGGGGGACAGAUGGAUGGAGGUCUUAUGUAAUACUGCAUGAGGGGGAGGGUCCGACCUUAAGAAUUAUGUCCUUGUGAGUGUACCCAUCGCCUGGCCGCCUCAUUGUGCUCUUGGCAAGGGUGGGCCUCAACUCUGAACCUCUCCUAACCUGCCGCACCUUGCCUCUCACUGUCUCCACCUGCACGAGGGCUGAGGCGUGGGGCGGCGGAGGAAGGUCACCCCAGCGUGUAAUUGUUUACAUCCCCAUCCAUACUUGACCGAGUUUACCUGUUUUGCCUCGAGCCUCAUUUGGGGUACGAAGGUCGAGGCGGGUGAUUGUAAGAUUUACAAGGGAGGCGGGGCCGGCCACUGCCUGUAGGGGGCGGCGGCCACAGGUAUAAACAAGGUGAGGCAGACUUAAGACCCAGCUCGUAACUUUGGAGGUAAGGAACACCUGCUUGACAAAGUUACUCCUUUACCUUCACCUUUUCUCUAAUCACACUUUU